rnacentral:lncRNA from 1 species
CGUAUAGAGACAGACCUGCGAGAGGAAGAGACCCGAGAAGGGUCGACCCCUAGAAACUUCAGGUCUAUCGAUCCAUCAGGGUGUUGAAUCACCCUUUCGAUCUGGGAUUGUUCGGAGUAACUCCGAACAGGGUGGGUGAUAGCCUCAAAAUGCCAAUCAUUACUAUGUAGGAUAUCAUCCCAAACUAGAGCCUUUGGAACAAAGACUGUGCUACAAUCUUUGUUUGCUUCCAUUAGGGUGGUGACCCCUUUAGGGCUCGUGAAUCUAGCUUUAG